UAAUACGUAGGGUGCGAGCGUUAAUCGGAAUUACUGGGCGUAAAGGGUGCGCAGGCGGUUUUGUAAGUCAGAUGUGAAAUCCCCGGGCUUAACCUGGGAAUUGCGUUUGAAACUACAAGACUAGAGUGUGGCAGAGGGAGGUGGAAUUCCAUGUGUAGCAGUGAAAUGCGUAGAGAUAUGGAAGAACAUCGAUGGCGAAGGCAGCCUCCUGGGUUAACACUGACGCUCAUGCACGAAAGCGUGGGGAGCAAACAGG
rnacentral:rRNA from 1 species